rnacentral:lncRNA from 1 species
AUGAGUAUGCGCAGGCUUCAGAAGAGGCUCACCUCUCAUGUCCUUUGCUGUGGCAAGGAGAAGGUCUAAUUGCACUCCAAGGAGACCAGUGAAAUCACCAAUGCCACCUCCCAUCAGCAGAUCCAGAAGCUGAUCAAAGAUAGGCUGAACAUCCACAAGCCUGUGACUGUCCAUUUCCGGGCUCGAUGCUGGAAAAAUGCCUUGGCCUGCUGGAAGGGUGAGUACAUGGACAUAGGUAAGCUAAAGGGUAUGGCCAAUGCCUGAAUGCCAGAGAAGGUAACUUGGAUGAGGAGAAUGAGGAUUCUGCACGGGCUGCUCAGAAGAUCCCAUGAAGUUAAGAAGAUUGACCACCAAAUGUAUCCCAGCUUGUACCUGAAGGUGAAAGCAAAUGUGUUCAAAACAAGCAGAUUCUCAUGGAGCACAUCCUCAUGGAGCACGUCCACGAGCUGAAGGCAGAAAAGGCCCAAAAGAAGCUCCUGGCUGCCCAGGCUGAGGCCCACAGGUCUGAGAACAAGCAAGCACACAAGUGGCUGAAGAGUACACUCAGGCCAAGAAGGAGGUGAUAUCAAGACUUUGUCCAAGGAGGAAGAGAGAAGCAAUAA